CCUACGGGAGGCUGCAGUGGGGAAUAUUGGACAAUGGGGGCAACCCUGAUCCAGCCAUGCCGCGUGUGUGAAGAAGGCCCUCGGGUUGUAAAGCACUUUCAGUGAGGAAGAACGCCUGUUGGUUAAUACCCAUCAGGAAAGACAUCACUCACAGAAGAAGCACCGGCUAACUCCGUGCCAGCAGCCGCGGUAAUACGGAGGGUGCGAGCGUUAAUCGGAAUUACUGGGCGUAAAGCGCGCGUAGGUGGCUUGAUAAGCCGGUUGUGAAAGCCCCGGGCUCAACCUGGGAACGGCAUCCGGAACUGUCAAGCUAGAGUGCAGGAGAGGAAGGUAGAAUUCCCGGUGUAGCGGUGAAAUGCGUAGAGAUCGGGAGGAAUACCAGUGGCGAAGGCGGCCUUCUGGACUGACACUGACACUGAGGUGCGAAAGCGUGGGUAGCAAACAGGAUUAGAUACCCUGGUAGUC
rnacentral:rRNA from 1 species